rnacentral:rRNA from 1 species
UUAGAUGAGCCUAUGUUAGAUUAGCUAGUUGGUAGGGUAAAGGCCUACCAAGGCGAUGAUCUAUAGCUGGUCUGAGAGGAUGAUCAGCCACACUGGAACUGAGAUACGGUCCAGACUCCUACGGGAGGCAGCAGUGGGGAAUAUUGGACAAUGGGCGCAAGCCUGAUCCAGCUAUGCCGCGUGAGUGAGGAAGGCCUUAGGGUUGUAAAACUCUUUCAGUAGGGAAGAUAAUGACGGUACCUACAGAAGAAGUCCCGGCAAACUCCGUGCCAGCAGCCGCGGUAAUACGGAGGGGGCAAGCGUUGUUCGGAAUUAUUGGGCGUAAAGGGCAUGUAGGCGGUUCGGUAAGUUAAAGGUGAAAUGCCAGGGCUUAACCCUGGAGCUGCUUUUAAUACUGCCAGACUAGAGUCCGGGAGAGGAUAGCGGAAU